rnacentral:ncRNA from 2 species
AUACUUGGCUGGGGGAGCCGUUUGGCAGAGCGGGAAUGAAAAUUCCUGACCCUUUGAACCUGAUGUGGUUAGUACCAACGUAGGGAAGCUGUUUUAUAUAUUU